GAAGCUCAAGAACAAAAACCCUCCUUAAACCCUAACGCGAAGAAGAUCGACAUGAAUAGAUCUCUUGCAACAAGUAUUUAUCGCUGUUCGUUUAUGCUGAAUCCUUACCCUGCUACCUCUUCAUUUUGGCCCAGCUAUAGGCGUUUCACAUCCAAAAGCUCUAAUCAACCUCCUGCUGAUAGCAACGACAACCACCUUCAAGACGAAGACGAUAUCAGCAAUAAAGCGCUGAAAAAGCAGAUAGAUAAGUUUUUUGAAGGAGAUGAAGAAGCAUUCCCAUCGAUAUUUGAAGCCAUAUUGAAAAGAAAAUUGGCUGGAAAAAGUGAAGAAUCUGAUAAGGAAUUGAUGAAUGAACUUCAGGC
rnacentral:misc_RNA from 1 species